AGAAGGAGAGGGGGAUGCUGCAGCGGCGCUUACUACCAAUCAAAUAGCGCUGCUGCGGCUCCCUGCUCCCCCUCCCUCCUCCUCCUUCUCACCUCACACAGCCUGCACCGAGAGGGAGCUGCACGAGGAGCCUGUCAGCGGGGAGAAGGUACCGCACAAGCAGCCAAACAGGCCGUUUAACACCUGGAUGGUGCAUAGGAUCAGAGAGAUGCCAGUAGUGGAAAGAACCAUGGAAAACAGGACUAUAUUAAACAACGCCACGUCUUUGGGAUAGAUACAUGCAUUCCACAUAUCCUGGUUGAACAGGCCAGAAUAUAUUGACCCAAUGGUUUUUCACAACAUAAUGAUCAGAAACAUCGGCUGAAAUGAUGAAGGAGUUGCCACCACUAUGUUAGAUAAUACACUAGGCAUCUGUGGUUGUAAAUCAUAAAGACAGAAAAUAAAUGUAGAAAAAUGAA